rnacentral:lncRNA from 1 species
ACUGGAAGCUGAGCGGGGUCUCACCUGGACAAAAGCCUUCUUGGACAGACUAACUUUGCAGAGGUUGCACAUAGAGCAGUAACCUCCUUCCCAGAGACUAGAAGGAAGACGAGCUACUGUUGCUUCUGCUGCUGGCCAUCUUUGGGUUGCCUACGAUAUCAUUCCGUAUGUUCUACUUGUUGAUGAAUAGCAAACUUGUGAUAACACGGAGAGGGGAGCAGAAGAAAUGGCUUAAUUGGACGGCUCUCUGUCCUUUGUGGAAUGCACAUCACUGAGUGAAGAGAACAAUUCCUGGGAGAGAGUGUGUUGCACUUUCGUUUCCAGCACCAGUUCUGUGCACGGAGCAAGUAACCCCAAGCACACCUAUCAGGAAACUGGAAAGCCACUCAGUCCUUCAGGUGUUUCUCAAGACCUACUAGACAUGGCAUUGGACUAUGUAUGCGGAUGGUGGCAGAAUCUUUGCUGAUGGUGCCAUCACACCCAACAGCAGGAGAAAGGAGCUAGCCGAUGCCUCUGUGCUGUGAAAGGCUCUGCCUUAUUCUUGUCUCCAGUAGCCCAGCAUGAUGCUGAGCUUCUGUUGGGAGCCAGACUAUGCCAUGAAUGAUGGAGUUUCAGGCUUUGCUAUGCCUGGAACAUGUUGCUCAGUGGGAGGCAGGCGUCUUGUUUUCUUUUACUCCCAUUUGGCCA